rnacentral:ncRNA from 2 species
GGAUAAACAACUCCUUACGAUACACUAUCCGUGCCAAGGGAAAGGGGUUUAAGCCCCUGCGGUCCCGCCACUGUAGAGGCUGGGAAUCUGUAAGAAGACACUGCAGGAACGUACUGCGGGAAGUCGCAGAUUCUGGGUAUGCCUAAGCCAGGAGACCUGACAUGGAUAAUUUCCGACG